rnacentral:rRNA from 1 species
CCUACGGGUGGCAGCAGUGGGGAAUAUUGCACAAUGGGCGAAAGCCUGAAGCAGCAACGUCGCGUGAGCGAUGAAGGUCCUCGGGUUGUAAAGCCUCGUUUUCAAGGAAGAUAAUGUCGGUACUUGAGGACGAAGCCCCGGUUAACUACGUACCAGCAGCCGCGGUAAUAAGGAGGGGGUUAGCGUUAUCCGGAAGUAUUGGGAGGAAAGGGUGCGUAGGUGGUUUCUUAAGUCAGAGGUGAAAGGGUGCGGCUCAACCGUAGUAAGCCUUUGAAACUGGUAAACCUGAGUGCGGGAGAGGGGUGUGGAAUUCGUGGUGUAGCGGUGAAAUGCAUAGAUAUCACGCAGAACACCGAUUGCGAAGGCAGCACACUGGAGUGUAACUGACGCUGAGGCACGAAAGCGUGGGGAGCGAACAGGAUUAGAUACCCGGGUAGUC